UACAGAGGGGGCAAGCGUUGUUCGGAAUUACUGGGCGUAAAGGGCGCGUAGGCGCCUUCUAAGUCGAACGUGAAAUCCCCGGGCUCAACCCGGGAACUGCGUCCGAUACUGGAAGGCUUGAAUCCGGGAGAGGGAUGUGGAAUUCCAGGUGUAGCGGUGAAAUGCGUAGAUAUCUGGAGGAACACCCGUAGCGAAGGCGGCACUCUGGGCCGAUACUGACACUGAGGGAGCGAAAGCGUGGGGAGCGAACAGG
rnacentral:rRNA from 1 species